AGGACUCCCUGAACAUCCCAAACUAGUCCUAGUUAAUAAACAGCACCAGUAAACUACAGAUGCUUCUGCAACUGUCAUUAGUUCAGCACCUACAGGGGUCUGCAUGGCCCCUAGUACCUUAACAGAGCUGAGCCUCGGAAGUUUUCGGACGACUCAGAUCUAUUUCUCAAUAAGCUACAUGAGUGACAACAUGAAUGACCAGUUGAGCUAAAAGCCAAGAGCCUUUAAACCUGUGAGUGAACAAGACGUCCUGAUUUUGAGGCAUAAAUAGCAGCUACCUGACAGACAUUCACCUGCAGCACGAAAAUGCUAUGGUGUGAAUGUGUAAGAAAUAGUUAAAAAAAUCCCAAACCAGCAUAUAAAAAGUGCAAAUUCUACUUGCAAGUUUGAGACCCUUGGCAGAAUUACAGUGUGGGUCACAGUUUCUUAAUGACAUAUCAAUCUCAGACUCUCACUUGAGUACACAGCUUGGCAAAGAGGGGAUGGGCCAAUUUUUCCUGAUAAUUUGCCUAAUUUCACAAGCGGGACUUGCUGUAAACAGCCUGCCCCAUCAAGCAUUGCAGAUCCUUCAGGACAACAGCAGCCUAACAUUCAUCUCUUCCAAAUAAGACCAGGCUACCCCAACUGUUGGAGAGGGCUAACAAGUCACAAAGUCUAGGUCAGUGGCUAAAUGCUUGCAAGCUUGGAGAGGGAGGGGGCUGAACACACGGUUUUGUGCCACCAACAUCCUCUCCAGACACAAAAAUCAAGCCCAGAACAGAGCCUUUUGAAGCAGAGCCUUCAGCCAUGGUUUGGGGGGUUGGCUCAGGAUUAUCCCACCUUUUUUCAAGGCCAGGAACUGUGGAAGGUAUAUGCAGUGGUUUUCUGCCUUGGAUGAAAAGUGAUGGUGAUGCCCGUCAGCUUAGAAGCAUCCCCAUGUGUUUUGCAUUCUGUAUAGGAGGGGUUUGGGGAAAGAGAAGAAGGUAAAUCAGAUUGCUUUAGCUGUUAUUCAGAAUUAGCUGAUAAUUAACAAAGCAAGGAAUAGGUGACAGGAGAGUGGAAGAGGAAGAAGCCAGUCAAGGAGGAGCAAGCAUCCAGUCCUGGGCACAUAUUCACAGGAAAGAGACACUGAGCUAUCUUACUAUAUCAUCAGAAGCUCUAGGCAAGUGGACCCAGAAACAGGGGAUCCUUUGAACGCCCUCCCACUGAGCGGAGGCAGCAAACUUCUGAGUUCUGUAAGAAGAGGCUGAAAGUUAGCUGAGUGCUUCUGAGCAGCAUUGCUGCAUCUGGGAAGGGUGAGUUUACAUAAGUUAAGAGCAAAGCAAGGAUACAGCUCUAAAGUCCUGCACCAAGGGAAGGAAAUGCUGGCCACAAUACAUUCAGCACCCAAAGGGUGCUAAGACUUCAGGCUCUGCAAUCUGGGGGUCUCCAGCUCCGUGGUCCUAUAUUAACUCAAUAACUCAUGGGCCAGUUCCAGUUUCCCCUUCUGGCAGCAAAAGCAAAGGGAAAGGGGAAAAAAGCAUCCCUGCCAGUUCGGAUCUUUCUCGCUCACUCCACGACAGAUGGGGAGGCAAUUCGCAGCCAGAUUCCCCCUCUGGUAGCUCAAGGCAGGCAUCACGCUUGCUCAGGGCAUUGCAAAUUGGAAAGCCAGUCCAGAAUAAAUAAUGGAGCAAGUCAUAGAAAAAUAUUGAGACAGCAUGAAAAACCCUGACAUUCCCUGUCUCGGAGGGUAUGGAUUAUUUAGAGAUAUGGAGGUAGGGGAUUCCCGUGGGAGCAGGCUCUCUUGCAUACCUUCUCUUUCACGCACACGACAAACAUUUCUGUGCUACUUUGCUGGCCAGUCACAGAACACAAGGUGUUCUGAGCUCUGACGUGAUUUUUAAAAGACACUGAGGUUGCCUUAUUUUAGGGAAUAAACCCAAGCACCAAGAAAGUUCUAGUGCUUUAAACUCACACGAAUAAAAACCAGUGGGUUUCUUUAACCGUAAUCUCCGCUUUAUAAGGUUUGUCUCUUUUCAACCCCAUUCAUACAGCAAAACAAAGCUGCUCAUUUCUGCCUGCCUUGUUCUCCUCUUAACUGCCUUCACUUCCUUGAGGAUAGAAAUAUGUAAAAUAGCAACUGCUCCAGAAAAAAUAGGUGAGAAAUUUCUAUUCUCCCCUGUCCUCUAGCACAAGAGUAAUGAAGCCUUCUGUCAAUUUUAGAGGUGGGAACCUCAUAGCUGGCAGAAGAAAAGCUACUUCAUACAUUUUCUUACACAGUGGAACUCUCUGCCAUUUAGUGUUUCCCAGAGUAACAUUUUAGAGUGAUUAUUUUUUUUUAAAGCACUGUAUGGGUUUAUGGUAUCAGAAGUACACUAAUUAUUUAAGAGUAUCUGUACUGGUUCAGAUUAAACAUCCAUCUAACCUAGUACCCUGCUUCCAACAUAAGGGCAUUAAAAAAAAGUUGCCCAAAGAUGUCAGAACAGGGUGAGGAAAAUAAAUAUUUGUUUUACUAAUAAAAAUGCUGGAAAAGAAACUAAACAUCAUGUUCCAGGAUUUCAGCCAGCCCUGUCGAAGACAGGGAUGUGCCUGAUUUGGAAAAAGGGGUGGGAGGCAUGACAGCCUACUGCAGCUUUCGCACACUUUCCUCUGCAACACUGGGCUCACCAGUAAUCACUGGGUAGGAUGGACACGGUAGUGCUAGGCUGUACCUCUGAACACUGUCUCAAACCCCCAAAAUCUUAUCACGAGUAAAAUCGGUGGCCCCAGCUCUGCAGUCCUACAAAGGGAGAGGGAGGGGUAGCCACUGCUUUGCUAGAGCUUAGAGGAGAUCUCAAAGCUCCUCUGCAUUACAGUAGGAAUACGCUCAUUUUAGGACACAUCGUGGCUGUGCUCCCUUCGGGACUGUCUGCAUUCUUUCACUUCAUAGCUACCUGCACAAAGAUUUUUAAAAUGUAUGGAGAUUGCACAGGCACAAACGUGACAGCAGGUUUUUUUCUAUGCUAGCAAUUCCCUCUCCCAUUUUUACCCCUACUUUACUCUUCUCUUCUCCCCUUUGCCUGUAGGGCUCUCGAAUGGCAGCAAAUUAAGUGAAAUGCCAUCAAUAAAGAUGAAUGAAAUCCCAGUGAAACACAUGGCAGGAUCUUUCCUUGCAAAAGCAAAUAAUACUUGCCUAAAUUAAAAAAGUAGCUGCGUGGGUUUGUCUUUCAGAUUGUGAAUCUAGCUUAACUCAAGCCUAUAAGUCAUAUUUUAUGGUCCAUACCCAAGGUCAAAGCAAGUUUAAUCCUGGUACCAAAAACCUACAGCUUUUCAUGUACAAGUAGCAGAGAUGGUGCUGCUUUGGGCUGAAUUGUCAUGAAAGCAGCUCCCCUUAUAAAAUUUCACCAAUUUCCCAAUUAAAAGCUAGAACAAGCAAACAAAAACCCCCAAACCAACCCACCCCCCUCUUCCAUAGUCUGGCUGUGGGUCUGACCCAGAGCUGAACCAUGGCAGCAGGUUGUGAUUUUGCUCUGGAGAGACACAGAUCAGCGUGGCGAGCAGCUGGCACCGUGCCACUUCAGAAUCUCAAGGGCAGACCUGUCGUGUCUCACUGAUACAAAUCUAACCGCCGCACACGGGGCUGCCACGCAGAACUGUGCUCCCAAGCCCUCUCUGCUGCACAAUCAGACCUGAGCAGGUCGUCUCACAGAAUCCUUGUGUGUUCUGCCAAAAGGAUGGCCUAUUUUCCUGCAGAGCCUUCCCUCAUACCCCAGAUGAUAUGCAAGAACAAGCUAGGGAAAUGGAAAUAAAAGCCAAACUCACAGGCAAAAUAACCUUUUUCCUAAUGCCUGCAGAGUGGAGUCCCUGUGACUUGCAACUGGCUUUGAGUUGGCAUCACCCACAAAGGUCGUUGUAGGGUUGUAAAGAGGUUUCCUCCCCCUCUCCCCCAAACCACUGUUUUUUCUUGGCUGUUUUCCUUUGUCACUAGCUCCUUAGACUUCCACAUUUAUCCCUGUAACUGCACUACUUACACUAUUUAAUUCUAGGACACCACGUAUGUAAGAACAUACCGUAUAGAAACAAGCCAAAUCUAGCUGUAGCCGAAAUUCUUGACUACUUCAGGAGCUUAACCUCCCAACCCAACAAAAACAACAAUAAAACAAAGAAACAGAAAAGCAAUCUUUAUGAUUUAUCUUUUUUCUAGGCUAUUCAGUAUAUCCUCAACCUAGCCUAGUGAACAUUGCACUAAUAUUCAGGGUGGGGGUGUGUGUGUUGCAUUUCUGUAGGUAUACCCACACACAAAAGGUUAUAAAUUCCAAAGUGCUUGGACAUUCUGUUUGGAAAUGAGAAUAAUCAACUGGAGAUCCUUGUACAGGUAGAAAAUCCAGGCUAAAUCAGAGAUUAUAAUGUACAUUUUAUGCUCUUGAAAGCAGGAAUGUAAGGGCUUAGUUCUGCUCUUGUUCCAUGGGAGUUCAGCAGAUACCAGAUUGGAUUCUAAAUCACACGGGAAGCUAAACGUAGCCUUAUCUACUACGUUAUUUAUUUACAGCCAUAUGAGCAGAUGCAUAAUGCUUAGAUGCAACUGAAAUGACAUUUCUGUUGGGCAGACAGCUUGCAAACAAAGAAAUUAUGACGGGAUCUUCCUCAGAAUCCAGGGGGAAGCCCACAUGAAUACUAGUGGAUAUUUGCCCUGCACCAGAAGAAGAGUAUGUGUGGAAGAAAAGCAUUGUCCAGACACCAAGAACAGCAGGAGUGUGACUCUUGCUAAUUUUAAUUAUUAAGCAAUUGAGAUUCCACCUCCAAAUUCUGAGGGAGAGUCAGCGCCACUCAGAAUGCAAAGCCCUUGCCCUCUGGAUGUACAAACAGAGCUGUUCUUGUGGUUGGCAUCUUUGUCUUGAUAACAGGCAUUACUUUUAUAAAGUAAAUCUAUUCCUCACAAUAGAUAAAACAACCAUUUUGGUUCACACCCAUCAGUGUACAUACAGAGGCAUGCCUAUACCCACUGGGGGACAGAUUUUGUGUGUCCCCAUCAGAAAAUGGGGAAAUCACUUGACUGAAUGUAUAUAGUGUUAUUAAUUUUGAUGCCAAAAUGGCACAAUAUUUAGGAGUGUGCUAAGGCAGGGAUUGAACAGCCAUCGAUAUAUCCAGUCACUUUUUCCCAAGUGUUUAGCUACAUAGUCUUUCAGUCCGUGGAUUCAAGCCAGUCAUAACCUUCAUGUUUCCUCCUAAAUUUCAUAUAUUCUUACUCUUUCUACACACUCAGUUUUUUCCUUCUUCAAUAAAAUAGAAGCUUAGCUAAAAGGGUAACCCUGUCCCCACGCCUCAUCUCACACUCUCUUUUUAGGAGAGGCUUAAGAUAACUAAAUGCAGAAAUUGGAAUGACAAAUAGCAACCACAGAAACACAUACCUAACACAAUAAGUGAUUAAAUUGCACCAGAAGUAUAACCAUAGCUUUCCUAGUGGAUAGAGUAAUUCAGUGCAGGGUGCACUGUGGCACCCGGUGGAAACAUAGGUAAGGGAAUAUUCACCUUCUGUGGGGAAGAAGCAACAUCAUGGCCAGAACACUUCCAGAUAAUUACCUCUCAGACAGUACGUAAAAUGCGAGCAGGGGUGCCAGUGUGCUUUGCCUGGACAGCAAGUGUGUCCCAACUACAACUCUGCUUCUCGCCAUUUUGAACAAAGCAGUUGCUUUGCACAGCAGGUCAUCUACCCCAUAACAGUUACUUCAGCCUUCAUGCUGGAUUAACAGGCACUUCGCAACAGCUGAGCCUGCAAAAGAUGCCCUAGAGGAGAUAUGUUGCUGUACAAUACAUCCACAUCUUACUUAAUCACGGGUUCCCUGUACCCUCAGGUACCCACACAGAUGUCAGCAUGUUCUGUAAGAUGGUGACUCUGCCAUGAGUAAUGGCCUCUACCACAGGCACAGCCUUAUGGAAAAGCUCUUCAGUGGUUCAUUUAAGCUGUGCCUAGUGGCCUCCAUGAGAAGCUAACAGUACAAGCUGCCUGGGCGCAAUACCUCACUGCUGCUGUGGUCAUAUUCCCUACACUCUUUUUCCUAUCCAUGUGUUGGGUGUGUGCCCUCCUUCAAAUUACAGCACUGUUCUGGGCAAAAAUGACACUAGCAGCAUCGGUAUUAACAUAUUAAAUAUAUGAUUAACAGACUAAGAGAAGAUAUUCUAUACGGGACAAUGCACAUUGCUAGCAAUCCCAGACUGCAAGCAUACACUCACCAUCAUCCUUUGCCUUCUUACAGUCACCAAUGAGAUGUCUGGGAAGCAACUCCUCCAAAAAGGAGAAGUUAUUGGCAAGGAAGGCCCACAUGCAGGGAGGAAUAACUCCUGUGCUCAGAUAUCCUAGAUCUGUGUGAUAGCUCCCCCUCCUCUCCUGCAGACCAGUGGGAAGGUAGCACUAGACAAUAUAGAGUCUUUACUUAGUUUACUCAUUUCACCUGUGAUUUAUCC
rnacentral:lncRNA from 1 species